AUGGCUAAUAUUUAAAUUUUACAAUUUAGAUUGUAAUUUGAAAAUAUAUUCUGCUAGACAACAGCAGUACUUUAUUCACAUCAAUAUUAGUUUCAUUAUAGUCAGUAUUGAUUCAUAAUAUGUAUAAAGACUCCUGAGCUUACUUGAGCCUCCUGAUUGUGUUUUUGAUUAAUAAUAUCAGGGGCGGAUUAAGAGGGUUUUUCAG
rnacentral:lncRNA from 1 species